CGGGGCGUAGCGCAGCCCGGUAGCGCACCUGCCUUGGGUGCAGGGGGUCCCCAGUUCAAAUCUGGGCGCCCCGA
rnacentral:tRNA from 1 species